UUUUUUUUUUUUUUUUUUUUUUGUCCUUUUGCCUUUUCUAGGGCCGCUCCCGCGGCAUAUGGAGGUUCCCAGGCUAGGGGUCGAAUUGGAGCUAUAGCUGCUGGCCUACGCCAGAGCCACAGCAACUCGGGAUCCGAGCCGAGUGUACGACCUACACCACAGCUCAUGGCAACACCGGAUCCUUAACCUACUGAGCAAGGCCAGGGAUCGAACCUGAAACCUCAUGGUCCCUAGUCGGAUUUGUUAACCACUGAGCCACGAUGGGAAGUCCAAAAAAAAGAAAAAGAUUUUAAAAAUAAAUAAAUUAAUUAAAAUUGGUAAAGUUUUUUUUUGUUUUUUGUUUUUUGGUCUUUUGGUCUUUUCAGGGACACACCCAUGGCAUAUGGAGGUUCCCAGGCUAAGUGUUGACUUGGAGCUGUAGCCACUGGCCUAUGCCACAACCACAGCAACCAGGGAUCCGAGCCACAUCUGUGACCUACACCACAGCUCAUGGCCACACCUGAUCCUUAACCCACUGAGCGAGGCUAGGGAUCGAACCCUCAUCCUCACGGAUGCUAGUCGGGUUUGUUAACCACAAAGCCGUGACAGGAGCUCCCUGGGCAAAGGAUUUGAACAGACAUUUCUCCAAAGAAGAUAUACAGAUGGCCAACAAACAUAGGAAAAGAUGCUCAGCACCACUAAUGAUUAGGACAAGGCAAAUCAAAACUACAAAGAGAUAUUACCUCACCCACAGUAGGAUGUCUACUCUAAAAACAAAAACAAAAGCAGAAAACAAGUGUUAGCAAGGAUGUAGAGAAAUCAGAAUGAUAAUGCAUUGUUGGUAGGAAUGAAAAAUGGUGCAGAUGCUAAGGAAAAUAGUGUAGAGGCAAACUGUUAAAAAAUUAAAUUAAAAACAAUUGCAGGGAUUUCCCGUUGUGGCUCAGUGGGUUAAGAAUCCAACUAGUAUCCAUGAGGAUGCGGGUUCAAUCCCUGGCCUGGCUCAGUAGGUUAAGAAUAUGGCGUUGCUGCAAGCUUCGGUGUAGAUCAAAGAUGUGGCUUGGAUCUCGAGUUGCUGUUGCUCUGUCUUUGGUGUAGGCCAGAAGCUGCAGUUCUAAUUUGACUCUCGUAUAGGAACUUCCAUAUGGUAUGGGAGCAGCCCUAAAAAAAAAUUUAAAAACUAUUGUAAAAAAUUAAACAUAGGCGUUCCCUGGUGGCUCUGCAGGUUAAGGAUCUGGCAUUGUUCCUGCUCUGGCUCUGUUAGUUGCUGUGAGGCGGGUUCAAUCCCUGGCCCCAGGAAGUUUCUCAUGGCACAGGCUCAACCAAAAAAAAAAAAAAAAAAAAAAAAAAAAAGUAAACAUGGCAUAACCCUAUGACCUGGCCAUUCUACGUGCUUGAUAUCUAUCCAAAGGAAAUGUAAGCAAGGUCUCAAAAAGAUAUUUGCACCCCCUUGUUCAUUUGCAGCAUUACUCACAAUAGCCAAGAGCUGGUCGUAACCCGACUGUCCACAGAAGGAUGACUGGAUAAACAAAAUAUCGUUUAUACAUACCAUGGAAUGUUGUUUAGUGUUUUAAAAGAUGGAAAUCCCGGAGUUCCCGUCGUGGCACAUUAUUUUUUUCCUGCACCUGUGGCAUAUGGGAGUUCCCAGGCUAGGGAUUGAAUCACAGCAGCAGCAGCUGGCCUACAUACACCAUAGCAACGCCAGAUCAGAGGUGAAUCUGCAAACUACACCACAGCUUGCCCACUGAGAAAGGUCAGGGAUUGAACCUGAAGCCUCAUGGAUACUAGCCAGAUUCUUAACCCACUGAGCCACAAUGGAAACUCCUUUUUUUAGUUAUUUUAAAAUGUAGGUAUGAGAAUAUUUAUUUAUUUAUUUAUCCGAGCCACGUCUGCAACCUACACCACAGCUC
rnacentral:lncRNA from 1 species